GACAGAGGUGCCGAGCGUUAGGCGGAAUCACUGGGCUUAAAGCGUGUGUAGGCGGGUCGUUAAGUGCCUUGUGAAAUCCCACCGCUCACCGGUGGAACUGCUUGGCAUACUGGCGGUCUUGAGCCACUUAGGGGCAACCGGAACAAACGGUGGAGCGGUGAAAUGCGUAGAUAUCGCUUGGAACGCCAAUGGUGAAAACAGGUUGCUGGGAGUGUGCUGACGCUGAGACACGAAAGCCAGGGGAGCAAACGGG
rnacentral:rRNA from 1 species